AAGAAAAGGAAAGACAUGACCGAAAAGACUCAAAGCUGGAAAAUACUGCAAAACAUUCUUUGCUUUUACAAAAGUGCUUUUCGAAAAGCGUCCUUUUUCCGCACGAACGAUAGAUUGUACAUCUUCCUACCAGUGCUUGUUUAGUUGUCACAAUCUCUAUUCCGCAUCUUAGUCUUUUUUCAUGUUGAUCGAAGCACUCAUUUUAAUUGAAAAUCUUUUCCCCAUUUCUUCCAUUGCCGCUGUUGAGAAGCAGAGUUGUUGCCCAUCUCCAGUAGUUCCUGCCCGACGGUCGCAUCG
rnacentral:lncRNA from 1 species